rnacentral:tRNA from 1 species
UUAAUUGAAGCCAAAAAGAGGCAAAUCACUGUUAAUGAUAAAACUGGAUGAAUAAUCCCAAUUAAA